AAAUGAAGACUCCAAGAGAUGAAGAAUCGUGACCAGGGUCAAAUAGGUGACAAAAAUAAGAGCCAGGAUUUAAAACCAGAUCUUUUGACGCUACAUGCACUCUGGCUUAGAAGAGGAAAUGAAGACUCCAAGAGAUGAAGAAUCGUGACCAGGGUCAAAUAGGAGGAAAUUUCAUUGAAGUUACUUUCCCAAGAUCUGAUAUCACAGUACGAAGCAGAGCUGGGACUUGAACUCUUAUGUUCUGACUCCAAAUUGCAUGUUGCUUCCUCAGCAUCAUAGAAAACCAGCAACAACUGGAGUGAUCAGGGAAUGCUUCCUGGAGGAGACGACAUCUGAGCUUGAAGACAAAGGAUGCUUUUGAAAGGAAAAGACGACCAUCGAGUGAUCAAAGAUCAUUGAAUCACAGAACCUCAGAGCUGGCAGGAACCUCCAGGAGCAUUCUAGCUCAACCUGUGCCUUUGCAGAAUGUGAAUUCCUUGAGGAUAAAGAUGACACAUCAUUGGUGUCUAAUAAACGUUUGAUGAAUAUAUUCAA